rnacentral:rRNA from 1 species
GACAGAGGUGCCAAGCGUUAGGCGGAAUCACUGGGCUUAAAGCGUGUGUAGGUGGAUGUCUAAGUACCUUGUGAAAUCCCACGGCUCAACCGUGGAACUGCUCGGGAUACUGGAUGUCUUGAGCCACUUAGGGGCUACCGGAACAAAUGGUGGAGCGGUGAAAUGCGUAGAUAUCAUUUGGAACGCCAAUGGUGAAAACAGGUAGCUGGGAGUGUGCUGACACUGAGACACGAAAGCCAGGGGAGCGAACGGG